CCUACGGGCGGCUGCAGUGGGGAAUAUUGCACAAUGGGCGCAAGCCUGAUGCAGCCAUGCCGCGUGUGUGAAGAAGGCCUUCGGGUUGUAAAGCACUUUCAGCGGGGAGGAAGGCGUUAAGGUUAAUAACCUUGUCGAUUGACGUUACCCGCAGAAGAAGCACCGGCUAACUCCGUGCCAGCAGCCGCGGUAAUACGGAGGAUGCAAGCGUUAAUCGGAAUUACUGGGCGUAAAGCGCACGCAGGCGGUCUGUCAAGUCGGAUGUGAAAUCCCCGGGCUCAACCUGGGAACUGCAUUCGAAACUGGCAGGCUAGAGUCUUGUAGAGGGGGGUAGAAUUCCAGGUGUAGCGGUGAAAUGCGUAGAGAUCUGGAGGAAUACCGGUGGCGAAGGCGGCCCCCUGGACAAAGACUGACGCUCAGGUGCGAAAGCGUGGGGAGCAAACAGGAUUAGAUACCCGUGUAGUC
rnacentral:rRNA from 1 species